rnacentral:rRNA from 1 species
GCCUAUGGCCACACCGGACUGAAUGUGCCUAAUCCCAGAAGCUAAGCAGUCUCAGUCCUGGCUAGUACUUGGAUGGGCUUUUAAAAUCAUGACCCCAGGUC